GGCCCAGAUUCCUACGGGAGGCAGCAGUGGGGAAUAUUGCACAAUGGGCGAAAGCCUGAUGCAGCAACGCCGCGUGAGGGACGACGGCCUUCGGGUUGUAAACCUCUUUUAGCAGGGAAGAAGCGAAAGUGACGGUACCUGCAGAAAAAGCGCCGGCUAACUACGUGCCAGCAGCCGCGGUAAUACGUAGGGCGCAAGCGUUAUCCGGAAUUAUUGGGCGUAAAGAGCUCGUAGGCGGUUUGUCGCGUCUGCUGUGAAAUCCCGAGGCUCAACCUCGGGUCUGCAGUGGGUACGGGCAGACUAGAGUGCGGUAGGGGAGAUUGGAAUUCCUGGUGUAGCGGUGGAAUGCGCAGAUAUCAGGAGGAACACCGAUGGCGAAGGCAGAUCUCUGGGCCGUAACUGACGCUGAGGAGCGAAAGGGUGGGGAGCAAACAGGCUUAGAUACCCUGGUAGUCCACCCCGUAAACGUUGGGAACUAGUUGUGGGGUCCAUUCCACGGAUUCCGUGACGCAGCUAACGCAUUAAGUUCCCCGCCUGGGGAGUACGGCCGCAAGGCUAAAACUCAAAGGAAUUGACGGGGACCCGCACAAGCGGCGGAGCAUGCGGAUUAAUUCGAUGCAACGCGAAGAACCUUACCAAGGCUUGACAUAUACGAGAACGGGCCAGAAAUGGUCAACUCUUUGGACACUCGUAAACAGGUGGUGCAUGGUUGUCGUCAGCUCGUGUCGUGAGAUGUUGGGUUAAGUCCCGCAACGAGCGCAACCCUCGUUCUAUGUUGCCAGCACGUAAUGGUGGGAACUCAUGGGAUACUGCCGGGGUCAACUCGGAGGAAGGUGGGGAUGACGUCAAAUCAUCAUGCCCCUUAUGUCUUGGGCUUCACGCAUGCUACAAUGGCCGGUACAAAGGGCUGCAAUACCGUAAGGUGGAGCGAAUCCCAAAAAGCCGGUCCCAGUUCGGAUUGAGGUCUGCAACUCGACCUCAUGAAGUCGGAGUCGCUAGUAAUCGCAGAUCAGCAACGCUGCGGUGAAUACGUUCCCGGGUCUUGUACACACCGCCCGUCAAGUCAUGAAAGUCGGUAACACCUGAAGCCGGUGGCCCAACCC
rnacentral:rRNA from 1 species